rnacentral:lncRNA from 1 species
CAGGCCAUAAAAUUUCCAUUCUUUUAUAUCAUACUAGUGAAUUACCCGCGCGAUGCUGCGGAUAUAAAAUUAUUUUUAUAAUAAAUUUUAUUUUUUAAAUAUUUUUAUAUAGUUUUAUAAGUCUAAUUAUUAAUUAAAUAAAAAUUAUAUAAAAAUAAUUUAAUAGUUAAAUCUAUUUAAAUAAAAGUCAUUAAAAUUGGUAUAUGCCGAAAGUAAAUUUAUACAAUUAUUUAUUUUAUAAAAAUUUAUAUGAAAAGAAUUUGAGAUAAAUCUAUCAAAAUAAUUUUAUUAAAAAAUCAAUAAAUAGAAGAAAAUUAAAAUUGUAAAUGAAAUUGUUUAAUAAAAUUAAUUAUAUAUACACAGAAAUACAUUAUAUUUCUAAAAUUUUACUCCUAAAAUUUAAAUACUAUAUUUUUUUUUAUACAAUGAUAUUUUAUGUGAUUUAAAUUGUAUCUAUCAGGUUAGAUUAAUUUUAUUACGUGAUUUAUUAUGCAUAUUAUUAAUAAAAUUAAUUAAUUAUAUUAUAAUUUAAUUAGUUAUUAUAAUUUAGAAUUUAAAAUUAAAAUUAUGAAUAUUAUAAGUUAAAAUUAAAAUUUAGAAUUUAAAAUAAAAAAUUUUAAAAUUUAAAAUUUUAAAUUUUAAAAUUUUAAAUUUUAAAUUUUAAAAUUUUAAAAUUUGAAAGUAUCAAAACUUUAAAUUUUUAUAUCAAAAUUUAAUUACUAAUAAGCUGUUAUACAAUUUAUUAAUAAAAUUAAUUUUAUAUAUAUAUAUAUAUAUAUAUAUAU